UAGCAUUAAAUCAAGUUUUUGUUCCCAAACUAGCAUUCAAGGUCAAAAGUCACAAAAAUAGCACUUAAUGUUUUAUCAAAAGUCACAAACUUAGGGUUUAGAGUUAAAGGGUAGGGUUUAGGAUUUAGGGUUUAGGGUUUAGAGUUUAGCGUUUAGGGUUUAGGGUUUAGAGUUUAGGGUUUAGGGUUUAGAGUUUAGCAUUUAGGGUUUAGGGUUUAGAGUUUAGGGUUUAGGGUUUAGAGUUUAGAGUUUAGAGUUUAGGGGUUUAGGGUUUAGGGUUGAGAGUUGAGAAAUGAGGUUUUGGGGAUAAGAUUUCAAAUUUUGAAAAAUAAAAAAAUUAAAAUUUUCAAAAGAUAAACUUAGAAAAGUGCUAUUUUG
rnacentral:lncRNA from 1 species